rnacentral:rRNA from 1 species
UACGUAGGGUGCGAGCGUUGUCCGGAAUUAUUGGGCGUAAAGGGCUCGUAGGCGGUUUGUCGCGUCGGGAGUGAAAACUCAGGGCUUAACUCUGAGCCUGCUUCCGAUACGGGCAGACUAGAGGUAUGCAGGGGAGAACGGAAUUCCUGGUGUAGCGGUGAAAUGCGCAGAUAUCAGGAGGAACACCGGUGGCGAAGGCGGUUCUCUGGGCAUUACCUGACGCUGAGGAGCGAAAGUGUGGGGAGCGAACAGG